rnacentral:rRNA from 1 species
GGGUCCGUAGGCGGUCAGAUAAGUCAGUGGUGAAAUGCCCAUCGCUCAACGGUGGAACGGCCAUUGAUACUGUCUGACUUGAAUUAUUAGGAAGUAACUAGAAUAUGUAGUGUAGCGGUGAAAUGCUUAGAGAUUACAUGGAAUACCAAUUGCGAAGGCAGGUUACUACUAAUGGAUUGACGCUGAUGGACGAAAGCGUGGGUAGCGAACAGGAUUAGAUACCCUGGUAGUCCACGCCGUAAACGAUGGAUACUAGCUGUUGGGAGCAAUCUCAGUGGCUAAGCGAAAGUGAUAAGU